CGCUGGCGGCGUGCCUAAUACAUGCAAGUCGAGCGAACGGACGAGAAGCUUCUCUGAUGUUAGCGGCGGACGGGUGAGUAACACGUGGAUAACCUACCUAUAAGACUGGGAUAACUUCGGGAAACCGGAGCUAAUACCGGAUAAUAUUUUGAACCGCAUGGUUCAAAAGUGAAAGACGGUCUUGCUGUCACUUAUAGAUGGAUCCGCGCUGCAUUAGCUAGUUGGUAAGGUAACGGCUUACCAAGGCAACGAUGCAUAGCCGACCUGAGAGGGUGAUCGGCCACACUGGAACUGAGACACGGUCCAGACUCCUACGGGAGGCAGCAGUAGGGAAUCUUCCGCAAUGGGCGAAAGCCUGACGGAGCAACCCGCGUGAGUGAUGAAGGUCUUCGGAUCGUAAAACUCUGUUAUUAGGGAAGAACAUAUGUGUAAGUAACUGUGCACAUCUUGACGGUACUAAUCAGAAAGCCACGGCUAACUACGUGCCAGCAGCCGCGGUAAUACGUAGGUGGCAAGCGUUAUCCGGAAUUAUUGGGCGUAAAGCGCGCGUAGGCGGUUUUUUAAGUCUGAUGUGAAAGCCCACGGCUCAACCGUGGAGGGUCAUUGGAAACUGGAAAACUUGAGUGCAGAAGAGGAAAGUGGAAUUCCAUGUGUAGCGGUGAAAUGCGCAGAGAUAUGGAGGAACACCAGUGGCGAAGGCGACUUCUGGUCUGUAACUGACGCUGAUGUGCGAAAGCGUGGGGAUCAAACAGGAUUAGAUACCCUGGUAGUCCACGCCGUAAACGAUGAGUGCUAAGUGUUAGGGGGUUUCCGCCCCUUAGUGCUGCAGCUAACGCAUUAAGCACUCCGCCUGGGGAGUACGACCGCAAGGUUGAAACUCAAAGGAAUUGACGGGGACCCGCACAAGCGGUGGAGCAUGUGGUUUAAUUCGAAGCAACGCGAAACCUUACCAAAUCUUGACAUCCUUUGACAACUCUAGAGAUAGAGCCUUCCCCUUCGGGGGACAAAGUGACAGGUGGUGCAUGGUUGUCGUCAGCUCGUGUCGUGAGAUGUUGGGUUAAGUCCCGCAACGAGCGCAACCCUUAAGCUUAGUUGCCAUCAUUAAGUUGGGCACUCUAAGUUGACUGCCGGUGACAAACCGGAGGAAGGUGGGGAUGACGUCAAAUCAUCAUGCCCCUUAUGAUUUGGGCUACACACGUGCUACAAUGGACAAUACAAAGGGCAGCGAAACCGCGAGGUCAACAAAUCCCAUAAAGUUGUUCUCAGUUCGGAUUGUAGUCUGCAACUCGACUACAUGAAGCUGGAAUCGCUAGUAAUCGUAGAUCAGCAUGCUACGGUGAAUACGUUCCCGGGUCUUGUACACACCGCCCGUCACACCACGAGAGUUUGUAACACCCGAAGCCGGUGGAGUAACCUUUUAGGG
rnacentral:rRNA from 1 species